AGAGACCGGCGCACGGGUGCGUAACGCGUAUGCAAUCUACCUUUCACAGAGGGAUAGCCCAGAGAAAUUUGGAUUAAUACCUCAUAGUAUAAUGACUCGGCAUCGAGUUAUUAUUAAAGUCACAACGGUGAAAGAUGAGCAUGCGUCCCAUUAGUUAGUUGGUAAGGUAACGGCUUACCAAGACUACGAUGGGUAGGGGUCCUGAGAGGGAGAUCCCCCACACUGGUACUGAGACACGGACCAGACUCCUACGGGAGGCAGCAGUGAGGAAUAUUGGACAAUGGGCGCAAGCCUGAUCCAGCCAUGCCGCGUGCAGGAUGACGGUCCUAUGGAUUGUAAACUGCUUUUAUACGAGAAGAAACACUACUUCGUGAAGUAGCUUGACGGUAUCGUAAGAAUAAGGAUCGGCUAACUCCGUGCCAGCAGCCGCGGUAAUACGGAGGAUCCAAGCGUUAUCCGGAAUCAUUGGGUUUAAAGGGUCCGUAGGCGGUUUAGUAAGUCAGUGGUGAAAGCCCAUCGCUCAACGGUGGAACGGCCAUUGAUACUGCUAGACUUGAAUUAUUAGGAAGUAACUAGAAUAUGUAGUGUAGCGGUGAAAUGCUUAGAGAUUACAUGGAAUACCAAUUGCGAAGGCAGGUUACUACUAAUGGAUUGACGCUGAUGGACGAAAGCGUGGGUAGCGAACAGGAUUAGAUACCCUGGUAGUCCACGCCGUAAACGAUGGAUACUAGCUGUUGGAAGCAAUUUCAGUGGCUA
rnacentral:rRNA from 1 species